rnacentral:lncRNA from 1 species
AUUUUACUACAGAAGAAGACAAUGUGACUCUGGAAGCAGAGGGAGGAAAGACAACUGAUGCAAGAAAGGGGUCACGAGCCAAGGAAUGCAGGCAUAUCCAGACGCUUGAAAAACCAGAGCACAAAUUCUCCCCUAGAGCUUCCAAAGGAACUUGCCUGGUGACACCUUUCAGACUCAUUUCAAGCUGGGCCUCUAACUGUAAGAAAGUAAAUUUCUGUUGUUUAAUGCAAGUAAGUUUGUGGUAAUUUGUUACAGCAGCCACAGGAAACAUGAAGCUAACAUAUAGCAUUUAGCAGACUUCUUUUUAGACUUCAGAUGAUGGUAUUACCGUGGAAGGAGGGUGUCCUCAGAAAGACUUGGAGCUCUGAAGACCACCAGUAAAGCCUUCUGUGCAUGCUGUCACAGAUGCACUAUUGACCUAAUAGAAAAUGUGUCAAAGGACUAGAACAAGCAACUCAAGAAGACAUUUUAAUCACCAAUAAGCAAAGGAAGAAAUGUUUUCCCUGGUGAUAAUCACUAUUAUCAAAGUGUGAUUACAUUUCCAAUUAACUGAAAAAAUUUAGCAUCAGUUACGGCAAGCGUUGGCAUGGAGGAGAGGAAAGAAGAACGUUUAUGUUUUGUCAGUGGGAAUGCAGGAGGUUGAGAGGAUCAGACUCUGCACAUAAAGGGCUUCUCCCAGUGCCUGGCUGGUAACCAGUACUUAGCAAGCAACAGCCAUUACAAGGGCAAUAGGUCUUGCUUGCACAAGGAUCCCUGAGAAGGUCUGUGGCAUUACACUGGGAAGAGCACUCUAACAAAAGGGGCUGCAGAGCCACUGGGGCACAGGGAGUCCCCCCCAAUAUACACUCAGUCCUGGCACGGGCAGCUGACAUCCGCAAAACAAUGAUCUCAAGUCCUUCUCCAGAGGUAGGAAUUUUGGGGGUACAAUUAUUCAAUUACCAGCAUGGCUAAGUCACACAAUGGUACCAGAGCCAUCUAUCAUUCCUCAUAUGACAAAAGUAGCAAGACGAAAAAGCACCAAGACUGAGAGGCUCAGCCCUGUGCCUGCUACGGCGUGUCUUGUUGGGAAUGAGCACCAUCUCCUGGACACAGUUAGAAACACGUCGAAGAUUAUCAGAGAAUCAUUUCCCAGACACCUGAGCCAAUGUUCAUUAAAUGACUCAAUGACUCUCUCCAAGAGGAAAAAAAAAAAGAAGAAAAGAAA